rnacentral:tRNA from 1 species
UCCUGCGAUGGUCUAGUGGCUAGGAUUGCGGGCUCUCACCGCGCUGGCCGGGUUCGAUUCCCGGUCAGGGAA